GUACCGCUGAGGAGUCCCAUACUGGGACGAAACGGCCGUCCAGUGC
rfam:Schistosoma haematobium scaffold248_24, whole genome shotgun sequence.